ACUUUAUUAGACAUAUUCAUAUUGUUUUCAAUAAAUUUUACAAAAAUAACUACAAAACAUAUACUUGAUUUACGGUGGUGUAAAACUUACGACAUGCCAAUCCUGUUUAAUAUUGUGCACUUUAGAAUUUAAAUGUUUCUUAAACCGAAUUUAUUUUUAAUAUUAGUGAUGUAUCAUUGAAAUAUGUUUAACAGUAUAAGUAUCUGAGACUUGUUUAAACCGAUUAUUUAUACCAUGCCAUGAUUGCUGAAACAGUAUCAAAGUCUGCCAAUAUUGAUUUCAAUAAUAAAAUCAUUUGGAGGCAUCUUAUAUGAACCUUUUUACAAAAUGUAUGAGGCUACUGUUUGGCCCGUAAAUACAUUUGCCUCGGCUAUUUGGGGCUAUGAAUGUUUUUCUUGUUUCUAUAAAUGCAGUACGAAAUAGGGCUGCUCGUUAUUAUUUAAAUGUCGGGAGAUAUACUCAAAAUGCAGCAACUUCUGGAGAUAUUGGUUGGAAAACUAUUACGUACUCAUUAUGGAAAACUGCUUUGACAAAUUGUUGUAGAUACACUUUAAUGAAUUCAAACAUACUGAAUAAAAAAUGCAUGUGUCAAAUAAAAGAUGUAAUAAUUGGAAUUUUUAAGGUCAGUCAGACGUUUAGACAAUAUGAUAGAUUUUGCAAGAUUGAUACACCUUAUUCGAAAGAAUGUAUACCUAAAAUCUGCUUCCACAAAAAAAAAUUAUGAUGACUAUGUUCAAAAAUGGAUAACUGAUAUGAAAUGAGAUACAUCAAGUCAGGUUCAGACACACAAAAAUCCUUACAUGCAGGACAUUAUGUUAGAGCUGUCUAUAAUAGAUCUUACAGAGGUUCCUUGGCAAACUUUAGAAGUGCAAUGGGUAUUUUUAAUUUUUUAAUGGGACAUACUAUAGGAAGAUAUAACGGACUUCUAGUAGAACAAAGAACCUGCUUCCAUUGUUAGAAUAUAGUUGGGGAAGAAGCACAUGAAUUGUUACAAUGCCCUCUUUAUGAUUCAAUUGGAUUACAAUUACUCCAAUCGGUAAACAGACUUUGUAAUGGUGUCUUGAUCAUUUAACCGAUAUUGAUAAGGUUGGAUUGCAGGCAUAGCAAUAGUAGGUGCCAUAACCUGCUGUAACAUCUUAAAUAAAAGAAAACUUGUUUUAUAUCAUUAGUAAUCAGAAAAAACCCUGUCUUGUACAUGUGAUAUAUUGUCCUAAUGUUUAUAGUAGCCUUGUUGUAUAUUGUUUUAAUUAUAUAUGCAAUGUUUUUAUACAUACCUGAAGUUUUCUUGUUAAUCUUAAUUUGCUCUGUUCUUAUCAGUCACACACCAUUAUUUUACACCCAUGUUUUAGACUGCGAGACAUUUUGGCUUUUUAUUAUAUCUCAAUUCUUCUACAUAUGUUUUUAAGUUUUUAAUAUGAUAAGCAAAGAUACUUCUAUUUAAUUUACCUGUAUCUUAUCAUUAUGUAUAUAAAAGGGAAAUACAAAUAUAUCUUGUUGUGUAAGAAAUGUGUGCAACUAAGGGAGACAAAUCUGCAGUGCAUACAAUUCUCCUGUUUUGUGGUGUAGAGAUUUGUCACUCUUAGAAGUAAAAUAAAUCGUCAACUGUGGUUCUAUUUUAGAAUGGCUAUACAUGUAUUUUAAUUUUGCAGUGUGUACUUUAUAUAGAAACGAUCUCCGUCCGUCUGUGCUUCCGUCCGUCUGUCCAUCCAAUCGUCCGCCCGUCCUUUCGUCCGACAUUUUUGUCCGGAGCAUAUCUCAAAAAGUAUUUGAGGUUUAAACUUGAAACUUUAUAGAUGGAUAAAUCAUAUUGAGGAGGAGUACAGUGCACAAGAAUGAUAACUCUACCCCGUAUAAUUUGUCAGUUAUUGCCCUUUGUUAUUUUUGAAACUUAAUUUUUGUCCAGAGUAUAACAUAAAAAGGCUUUGAGAUAUCAACAUGAAACUUCAUUGGUGGAUAUAUCUCACUCAGGAGGUGUACAGUGCACAAUAAUUAUAACUCUACCAUUCAUAAGUUUUGAGUGAUUGCCCUUUGUUAUUUUUCAUACUUAAUUUUUCACCUGAGUGGAGCAUAACUCAAAAAGUCUUUGAGAUGUUAACAUGAAACUUCAUAGGUGGAUAGAUCUUAUUGAAGAGGAAUGCUGUGUGCAAGAAUGAUAAUUCUACCCUUUAUAAUUUUUGAGUUAUUGUCCUUUGUUAAUUUUAAUACUUUUUGUCCGUAGCUUAUCUCAAAAAGUUUCAGAGGUAUCAACUUGAAACUUCAUAGGUGGAUAGAUCUCAUUGAGGAGGAGUGCACCACUCGAGAAUGAUAACCUACCUUGCAUUAUUUUGCAGUUAUUUCCUUUGUUAGUUUCAGCCAUCAGUAUUCACAUUGGUUUCAAAUCAGCCAUCAGUUUUCAUUACAAAAGACCUCUUUAAGUUGAAUUAUUCUGCUCUACUACAUAUACAUUCUUCAAAUCAGCAAACACAUUAGGCGGGGGAUGACCAUGCUAACAUGGCUCUUGUUAAUAAUAUGUUUAUAUGUAUAGAUGAGACUCCAAAAAACAAUAAAUAAAAUGAUAAAGACAUGUAGAUGUACUUUUUGAACACACCUCUUGCCUACAGUUUAUGUUAUACUUUAAACAAAAACUAUUAAAACACUAAGUGUUCUGAGAAUUUAAUACAUGGAUAUAAAUGAAUAUGGAAAUCAAGUGUUUUAUUUCAUUUCAGGGACCCAUGGAAUCCUUGCAGAUCAAACUAACAGAGGGCAGCAUGACUUUUAUGAAAAUGUCCAAGGACCAAAGGUCAUGUGUAAAACAGCUGAUAUACCUGUGAAGGUAACAUCAAAGCAUCGGCAAAAUGAUGGCGUUGUUUUACUCCACAAGCCUAUUCAUGCUAUUGUGCCGUCAGGGGCGAUGCUUUCUAUGGAUGAGUAUGCUGUUGUCAUGUCAAACACCCUAUUGAAAUUCAACACUUUGUAUCGACACUAGUCUGUUCCCAAUCAAGACUGUUCAAUCAAACCAUCGAUAUUGAUCCACCGAAGACCUUCAAAUUAAAUAAUAGUAUGAGAUACCUCUGUUGUUUCUUAACUCAGAAAAAUAUGGAACAAACAAAACAACAACAAAAUAACAAAAAGUAAAAGUUAACAAUGAUUUUUUUUAUUUUUUUAUUUCAUAUUUAAAUGAAAACAGUCUUAAAAAGAGCACUUUUAUUAUUUUGCAAAAGAAAACAAUAAUUGUUUAGGAAAUAUUAUUGUUAUAUGUAUUGUAUAUAUGUAUAUAGAUGUAUAGAGAAGUUCUUUAAUCAGAUGUUUUAUUAGUUAAGCUGCGUUCAUUGAAUGCCGCCUUUCCUUGUCGAUCUUGUUUAUCAUAUUUUGUAAAUAUAUGGAUUUAAGUAAAGCCUUAAUUACUGUUCAUUAACACAGCAGACUUUACUAUUUUAAUGAUAUUUAUCCGAACCGUGCAAUAUGUUUGAAUAAAAACCUUGCUAUUUGUAUUUAUGUAUAUUAUGUAUAAGAAAUGUUAUGUAAUAAAAAGUAAUAUAUCUGUUA